GCCUUUGUGGUGUAACGGUUAACACACUCGGCGCGUAUUCGAGAGGUGCAGGCUCGAAUCCCGGCAAGGACA
rnacentral:tRNA from 1 species